rnacentral:rRNA from 1 species
AUUGAACGCUGGCGGCAGGCCUAACACAUGCAAGUCGAGCGGACGAAGGGAGCUUGCUCCUGGAUUCAGCGGCGGACGGGUGAGUAAUGCCUAGGAAUCUGCCUGGUAGUGGGGGAUAACGUCCGGAAACGGGCGCUAAUACCGCAUACGUCCUGAGGGAGAAAGUGGGGGAUCUUCGGACCUCACGCUAUCAGAUGAGCCUAGGUCGGAUUAGCUAGUUGGUGGGGUAAAGGCCUACCAAGGCGACGAUCCGUAACUGGUCUGAGAGGAUGAUAGUCACACUGGAACUGAGACACGGUCCAGACUCCUACGGGAGGCAGCAGUGGGGAAUAUUGGACAAUGGGCGAAAGCCUGAUCCAGCCAUGCCGCGUGUGUGAAGAAGGUCUUCGGAUUGUAAAGCACUUUAAGUUGGGAGGAAGGGCAGUAAGUUAAUACCUUGCUGUUUUGACGUUACCAACAGAAUAAGCACCGGCUAACUUCGUG